rnacentral:rRNA from 1 species
GUAGGUGGCAAGCGUUGUCCGGAAUUAUUGGGCGUAAAGCGCGCGCAGGCGGGGUCCUUUAAGUCUGAUGUGAAAGCCCACGGGCUCAACCGUGGAGGGUCAUUGGAAACUGGGGGACUUGAGUACAGAAGAGGAAAGCGGAAUUCCAAGUGUAGCGGUGAAAUGCGUAGAGAUUUGGAGGAACACCAGUGGCGAAGGCGGCUUUCUGGUCUGUAACUGACGCUGAGGCGCGAAAGCGUGGGGAGCAAACAGGAUUAGAUACCCUGGUAGUCCACGCCGUAAACGAUGAGUGCUAAGUGUUAGGAGGUUUCCGCCCCUUAGUGCUGCAGCUAACGCAUUAAGCACUCCGCCUGGGGAGUACGGCCGCAGGGCUG